ACUCUGACUGGAAAAGAAGAGAGAGAUAGGAGAAUGAGGAGACAGUAAGAACUUUGGGAAACAAGAUCAACCAGUUGCCUUAGACUAUAAAUGUGGGCCAAUGAGUUCAGCCCCUGGUAUGUCAGCCUCCCUCCUUCCUUCCCUCCCUCUCCCCUCCCCUCCCCUCUGAAUUUUUUAGACAGGGUCUAGCCCAACCUAGAACUUAAAAUGAUCUUCUAGCCCCAAGUGCUAAGAUUACAGGUUUGUAUCUGCCACCACAUCUGGCUUCUAUUAUAGUUUGAUAAUAUUAUAGCAGAAGCCAGAGUGCAGUGAAGUGACUCAAUGGAAAGGGGAAAGGACAGAUGGUAGGAAAGGAGAGUGGCUGUAGACUAGUCACUCCACCCAUCUAUCUGACUGUGAAGGGAAGGAGGGAAAAAGGAUAGUUUGAAGUGAGAUUAGUGUGGAAAUCACAUGUUAAGUUUUGAAUGGGAAGAUGUUAAGUAUGUCUGUAGUGUGGAAUGAAGUGUCACAGAGAGAAAUGGGAUGCUGGGUGGAAUCCAAGUCUACAAAGACAAUUCCUAAUAGAUUCUUCUAGAGAUCACCACGAGUAAAUCAGUUUAGAUUGUUCAGAGUGCAGUGAGACCAGGAAGUAGGCAAGCGGGAAGGGGGUACAUGGAGACAAAGACAAAGCUCCUGCUUAUGCGGUCCCUUCACACUCUACAGAAUACUUCUGGUGCACGAUGUGAAGACCUUCUUGUGUCCUAAAAGAUGUUUAUUUCCAUGACUAGUGGAAAAUACAGCUAUGUUGUGUACCAUUAAAAAAAACACCCAUCUUUUGGAUAACUGACUUGUAAUAGUUAUCACAUUUAUGUUCCAGAUUUUAGGAAACGUAAACAAACAGUAAAGACUCCAACUGUCGUUGGCAGGCCUGUAAUCCCAGCACUUGAGAGGCAAAGACAGGUGGGUUGGCUUUGAGAAAAUCCUGCCACAAAAGAAAAAGGGGGGGAGGGGAGAAAGACUGCAAUUUGCUUCCCCGCUAAAGCUCACACAGCUUGUUUGAUGUCCCCAACAGGAGAUUUCUCAUUGCUGACAUCAUUUACCAUGGGAAUCACCCCGAGGGGGCUCACAUUUUUAUAUUCCGUCCAUCUAGGUUUGAAAACAUAAGCAUAGAUAACUGUUUCUAGGAUUUAUUUAUUUUUCUUGCUACUCCAUAUUAGUGUAGAAUAGUUUUUGCAGGGAGCUGGUUACUGAAUGGCAUGCGGCUUUGCUUGGUGCUCUAAUGAGUGUGGCAGAAAUCUGAGAACUUGGAAAGGGAAUCGCUUACUAAAAUUUUACUGUCACGGGAGAGCUGAGAUUAUCUGUAGACAACGUUACAGUUUUAUUUGACGAAUGUUCUUUGACAAUUUCAUACACAAACACAAUACAUUCUGAUUACACUCCUCCCCCCCUUAUCUCUCUCCCACCCUUGUCAAUAGCCCCACUUGAAUCCUAUCAGUCCCUUUCCCAGAAUCAUGACUUUUUGUUUUGUUUUAUGACCCAUUUUAUUUAACCAAGGCCAUCUUUGUAAGACCGUUGAAUUGGAACUAUGCAUUCAACCAGGCAAAGUCGUCACUGGGUACACAAUUUAAGGCUAUGAUGCCCCCUCUCCCUGAAUUUAUUGUUAGCAAGUAGCUCAGCAGUGAGGGGUAGGACACGGAAAACAAGCUAAAGUGUAACUCUAGACUUAGAAAUUUA
rnacentral:lncRNA from 1 species